GGCCGCCUGGCGUAAUGGCAGCGCGUCUGACUACGAAUCAGGAGGUUGCAGGUUCGAUCCCUGCGGUGGUCA
rnacentral:tRNA from 1 species